GCAAACUUGGUCAUUUAGAGGAAGUAAAAGUCGUAACAAGGUCUCCGUUGGUGAACCAGCGGAGGGAUCAUUAGAGAGUAUUACAACUCCCAAACCCAUGUGAACAUACCUCUCGUUGCCUCGGCGGAGAGAGGGCUACCCUCGCGGAGCUACCCUAAACUUACCUGGGACUCCCGGGAGCGUCCUCCCGCCGCCGCUGGCCCGAUAAACUCUGUUUUAUUUUGGAACUCUGAAUCUUAAAACAAAUAAGUUAAAACUUUCAACAACGGAUCUCUUGGUUCUGGCAUCGAUGAAGAACGCAGC
rnacentral:misc_RNA from 1 species